rnacentral:lncRNA from 1 species
AACUUCUGACUUCUUCCACCUAAAACAAACUCGGAGCUCUAGUUUGCCUUGCAUUUAGCUUCUUUUUCGAAGCUGCACCUAUAAAUUAAAGUAGUUAUAUCCCCAGAGUGCUCACACUUUUAAAUAUUAAGGCAAAAGAGUAAAUAGACUCGCCCUCUUGGUCCUGAGCAUUCUCAAUGUAGAGCUCAAGACCUGCUCUCCAAUAAGAGAUGGACAUGGAAGCAAGAGAGGCUGGUGGGCUGAGGACAGAGAAGACACCGAGAAGUUACAAUGCAACUUGAGAAAUGUUAUAAGUCUCACAGUAGGGGUAUUUCAAAGAGAGUAGAAGUACUUGAAUCAGCCCGCCCCAUUUAUCCAACUCAAACAUCAAUAUUCUAGUGUAGGUUUUUAGGACCACUCUCCUGCUCUGCAACUAAGAGGCUUUCUCGUCUCAGCUUCUCCCAUUCCAGUCCUCUUGCAUAUCACUGACAACUUACUCU